AGAUCUGAGGUCGGCCUGAGCUACACAGUGAUAUCUCUUCACAGAAAAACAAAGGCAAAUGUGCCGAAGGAUGCUGGUUCUGCUGUGGCAUAAAAUGUUAUUAUAUCAUCAUGGAAGCGAAACAGUGGAGGGAAUGUAAACAGACCUGCCAGGAUUGCAGCUUAUCCCUCUUGAAGAUAGAUGAUGACAGUGAAAUGAAGUUCCUUCAGCUCCAGAUUUCUCCAAACAAUUACUGGAUUAGAUUGUCAUAUGAUAAGAAAGAAAGGAAUGGACAUGGAUUGACAGUGGCCCAUCUAAACUGGCUCAUGGUAAGGACAAGGUGCAUAAGGCAGUGUCUCAGCAAGUGUUACACAGGGAAGAUGUAUGGUCAAGGAGCUGACUAAAAGUGGCUUAAUACUGCGUACAUCUCAGGAUUGUCUGUGCCAGGAUGCACAAGGCACAGUCAAAUCAACGGCUCAAGAUGAUGUAGA